AGCAUAGUUUUACCUGUUAAAUUAUUAUCAUUAUUAGUAUUUGUUUUCGAACAACGGGUGCACGCGUAACACGAUAUUUAUUCGGACGUUAUUAAAACGUCCACACACACCCCGGAAUAUUGUCUGGGGAAAACGGGUGCGUGUGUCGCACGCGAGUUUACUACGGCGACGAAACCCGGAUGAGGGGGCGAAACGGAAGAAAACGAGAGUCGACAAAACGGCGU